rnacentral:rRNA from 1 species
UACGUAGGACCAAGCGUUGUCCGGAAUCAUUGGGCGUAAAGGGCUCGUAGGCGGCCAACUAAGUCGGACGUGAAAUCCCUCGGCUUAACCGGGAACUGCGUCCGAUACUGGAUGGCUUGAGUUCGGGAGAGGGAUGCGGAAUUCCAGGUGUAGCGGUGAAAUGCGUAGAUAUCUGGAGGAACACCGGUGGCGAAGGCGGCAUCCUGGACCGGCAUUGACGCUGAGGCGCGAAAGCCAGGGGAGCAAACGGG